rnacentral:rRNA from 1 species
GAUGAACGCUAGCGGCAGGCCUAACACAUGCAAGUCGAACGGUAACAUAGAGAAGCUUGCUUCUUAGAUGACGAGUGGCGCACGGGUGCGUAACGCGUAUACAAUCUACCUUUUACAGGGGGAUAGCCUUUAGAAAUGAAGAUUAAUACCCCAUAGUAUAUAUUAAUGGCAUCGUUAAUAUAUUAAAGUUUCGGCGGUAAAAGAUGAGUAUGCGUUCUAUUAGCUAGAUGGUGUGGUAACGGCACACCAUGGCAACGAUAGAUAGGGGCCCUGAGAGGGGGAUCCCCCACACUGGUACUGAGACACGGACCAGACUCCUACGGGAGGCAGCAGUGAGGAAUAUUGGACAAUGGGCGCAAGCCUGAUCCAGCCAUGCCGCGUGCAGGAAGACUGCCCUAUGGGUUGUAAACUGCUUUUAUACAGGAAGAAACCGCUCUACGUGUAGAGCUCUGACGGUACUGUAAGAAUAAGGAUCGGCUAACUCCG